UUAAAAAUCAAACUAUCUUUCAUUUUGUCGCUCAAAUUCGAUGACAUAAUAUUUAGUUAAAACUUAAGCCAACUCUCAAAGUUUCAACAGAGGCUAUUGUAUUGAAGGUUUGAAAAAGGAAGUUUAGAUCUUCAUGGUCGCAUAAUCUAAGAGAGAACUAGAAGAAAGAAAGAGAGACACAGUAAACGUUACAGAUAUUCAACAUAAAUCUCCUGUCACCUUGAGACAUACAUUCUGGAGGCUGGUGGUGACGAAUUAGGAAUCGGAUCGUUUUAAAUUUUAAGAUAAUCAAGAAGAAGUUGGUCACGUUGUCUCUCAAAUACAGUCACCAAUGGACCCAAGAAUUCAGGAAUAUUUAGAGGGGCUUGUACCUAAAGAUGAACGUGAUAUACAAGUCUUGGGUGAAUCGCAGAAUGACGUGGAUAAAUUGGAGAACUAUUUAAAAAUGUAUAUAAUGCAAGGUAACCAAGGU